rnacentral:lncRNA from 1 species
UAGAGGUGGGAACAGGCCAGGCCGGCCUACAUGGCCUUAAGGCCUAGCCUACAUAGGCUCAGGCCAGGCCAGCCUAUUUCUUUAAAUAGAGCAGGCCAAUGCUUUUUUAUAAGCCUAUUUAGCUAAAAAGNNNNNNNNNNNGAACAUUAUUUUAUUAGUUCAUAAGUAUAUUUCAAAAUAAAUAUAAUUAUUUAUUUAAAUAUGUUCAUAUGAAAUAGGCUUUUAAACAGGCUAACAGGCCACAUCAGACUUUCAAAAGGCCAGGCCCAGGCCUAGAAUUUAAGCCUAUGAUAGGCCACAGGCCAGGCUCAGACCUUCGAUUUUUUGACAGGCCAGGCUCAGGCUUGGCAAAGCCUAGCUCGGCCUAACC